UUAAUUAUGAUCACAAGGGUCUCUAUUUAUAGCCAUAUGAUUGCUAAAUGCACACUUGAAAUCAAAGUUCCAAAAAUAGCAAUGUAUGUUGCAUUGAUGCAUUGGCGUGGGAUAGACCCAUGUAAUCAUCUUUUCAGGUCCACAAAUGAGUAGAAACAUUACUGAAGUCACAUUGGUAAUCCAUGCAAUUGUGUAUGAAAGUUUUAAGUUUAAUUGUGCCAAAUUGUCAUCCAAGUUCAAGCCAUGCGCAAG
rnacentral:lncRNA from 1 species